AGCAAAGUGUCGUUCAAUGUCCUGUCCAGACUUACAAUCACCUUCUGUUGAUUAAUCACAAUCACCCUGUAGACUGUAGACUCCAUUGAGUAGCUGAGGAAAAUAUUCUUUGAGCUUCAAAUGCAAGACUUGCAAAUAGGCAUUUUCCUCCAAACACAUACCAAGAGUUAGUGUUUGCUUCUGAUUGGCCACUGACAAGAAUGGUGUCUUUCUGGAUUUAUUAAUGAUCAGGGUUCAUCUUGAUCAAUCUUCAUUUGUGACGUCUUGUCCUU
rnacentral:lncRNA from 1 species